rnacentral:lncRNA from 1 species
CCAGCCCAACUAUCAUACACUGGCCUUCCAUAAGCUUCAUAACAUGGGGGUGCUGGCCUAGCAUUGUCAUGAUAACACGGGCCUCCACUAAUCCCAUGGUAGCAUUCAGCACAACAUGUCCUUGGGUGGACUGGUUCCGGAGCUUUAGGUGGUGGUGGUCGUGUCGGGUUUGGAGCUGGGAUUGGGGCGGGUGCUGGCCUCCUAUAGUCAUGAUAACACGGGCCUCCACUAAUCCCAUGGUAGCAUUCAUCACAACAUGUCCUUGGGUGGACUGGUUCCGGAGCUUUAGGUGGUGGUGCCGGGUUUGGAGCUGGGAUUAGGAAGGGUGCUGGCCUCCUAUGGUCAUGAUAACAUGGGCCUCCACUAAUCCCAUGGUAGCAUUCAGCACAACAUGUCCUUCGGUGGACUGGUGCCGGUUUCUCUGGUUCUUUGGGUUUCUCUGGUUCUUUGGGUUUCUCCGGUUCUUUGGGUUUCUCUGGUUCUUUGGGCUUCUCCGGUUCUUUGGGAUUCUCCGGUUGCUUAGGCUUUUCAGGUUCUUUCGGCUUCUCCGGUUCUUUAGGUUUAGAUGGUGGUGCUUUGGGUUUCUCUGGAACCUUGAUCUCAAUGCUCUGGACAGCUUCACCUCCUUUACAGAUUAUCUUUUCCUUGAUCUUUUCAGGACUGCAACAUACCACAGUGAUG